UCGGGGACGGAUGGGAAUACCUCAUAACGUAACUGANCCGCAUGAUUUAGUUACCAAAGAUUUAUCACUCUGAGAUGGGCUCGCGUCUGAUUAGAUAGUUGGUGAGGUAACGGCUCACCAAGUCGACGAUCAGUAGCCGGACUGAGAGGUUGAACGGCCACAUUGGGACUGAGACACGGCCCAGACUCCUACGGGAGGCAGCAGUGGGGAAUAUUGCACAAUGGGGGAAACCCUGAUGCANCGAUGCCGCGUGGAGGAAGAAGGUUUUCGGAUUGUAAACUCCUGUCUUAAAAGG
rnacentral:rRNA from 1 species